AUACAAAACUUUACUGAUAAUUAAUACAUACCAUUACUAAAAUACCUAUUAUGGAAGAGAAUAAAUAAGUAAUUAUUUUAUAUUUAGUCUUGCUGCAUACGAUGACUUUACUAUUUAAAAACAUCAGUAAAGAUUCGUAAGGUUGUUGAGGUGCUUCGUUGCAGAAAUCAAAUUGUCACUAUUUACGUAAAAUUACACAAUUACUGAGAUUGAUAUGGAGUCUAAGGUUUCUAUCAAAGUUAAGUGGUAAAUACUAAAUAGACAAGUAAACUACGAUUAUUAUAAUAUUUAUCUUACUUAUAUCAUUCGACACAAAAUAAUAAUGUCAUACACUUUUCAUUUUGUAUCCUUAAAAUGUUCGUGCCACCGAAAACGAUUCAUCAAGGUAUUUUUUAUUCAGUUGAAAAUGUUUAACAAAUACAGAUGAGAUAUUCAAACUUAUCGACUUAUUACUGUAUGCUGAUGAAGGAAAUACACCUAGAAGGUAAUUGGCAACAAAAAUAAAUCCAGUUGCUUGAAAAAUAGAUAAAAAAAAACCGUUCAAUUAAAAAAACAGAGGAGACUUCAUAAACAUGGUCGGAAUAUAAACUCGGUGUCCUUACUAAAUGUUAUUUAACAGCGUAGAAGACCUUUCAAAAUUGGCCCAGAGUCUUCAGAAAAAACAAAACGGAUUUCAUUUGAAUUCAAAACACAAAAGAAACUACAGGGGUGGAUAAUACAGAACGAAAUGUCCCUGUUCGAUGUUAAUCUCAUAAAUGUACAAGACAAAUUGGCCAAACAAAAUGGCCCAGUCGGUGUCUUCUUAAUUAAAAACAUUUCAUUUGAAUUCAAAAUACAAAACAUACUACACCAAUGUGGUUUGAAUAGAACCAAAUGUCAAUGUUCUAUGUUUAUCUCAUAAACAUAUGAAAAAAUCAUCCACUUUAUGAAAAGAAAUUAAGUAAUUUAAUACAAUGUCAACUCACAGUUAAACAGCUACAAUAAAGUUACAUGAAGUCCUAAGAAGCAGCAAAGUAUUGUUAAUUAUUGCCUAAGGUCCGGCCAAACUACAGACUGACAUUGUUGAUUGACAAUUUACUCAUAUCCAGAUUCAAUCGUUUUUU